rnacentral:lncRNA from 1 species
AGAUGAAGAAAUCAGGUUAGACCACUCAACUGGAGGAAAUAUGCUUAAAGUUGUGUGCGAUGGAUAUUUUCAAUAUUGUUAAGGAGUGAAAUUGAUCAUAGAAGGAUAUAAAGCGACAUUCGACAUAGACUACUGGUUAGCUACUUGGCUGAUUGGGACUUUCAGAAAUGUUAAGUUAUUAUAGCCGAAAAUGAACAAAGUUAAUGUCUAGGGAAUUAUGAAGUGUUGGGAGUUUAUGUGGUAGUGUGGCACUCAUUAAGUUUAUUAUAGCCGAAAAUGAACGAAGUUAAUGUCUUAGGGAAUUAU